AUUGAACGCUGGCGGCAGGCCUAACAAAUGCAAGUCGAACGAGUGGCGGACGGGUGAGUAAUGUCUGGGAAACUGCCUGAUGGAGGGGGAUAACUACUGGAAACGGUAGCUAAUACCGCAUACCAUCAGAUGUGCCCAGAUGGGAUUAGCUAGUUGGUGGGGUAACGGCUCACCAAGGCGACGAUCCCUAGCUGGUCUGAGAGGAUGACCAGCCACACGGGAACUGAGACACGUUCCAGACUCCGACGGGAGGCGGCUGGGGGGAAUAUUGCACAAGUGGCGCAAGCCUGAUGCAGCCAUGCCGCGUGUAUGAAGUAGGUCUUCGGGUUGUAAAGCACUUUCAGCGGUGAGGCGUUACCCGCCGAAGAAGCACCGGCUAACUCCGUGCCAGCAGCCGCGGUAAUAC
rnacentral:rRNA from 1 species